rnacentral:rRNA from 1 species
UACGAAGGGGGCUAGCGUUGCUCGGAAUUACUGGGCGUAAAGGGCGCGUAGGCGGAUAUCUAAGUUGGGGGUGAAAUCCCGGGGCUCAACCUCGGAAUUGCCUUCAAAACUGGAUAUCUUGAGUUCGGGAGAGGUGAGUGGAACUCCGAGUGUAGAGGUGAAAUUCGUAGAUAUUAGGAAGAACACCGGUGGCGAAGGCGGCCCACUGGAUCGGUACUGACGCUGAGGUGCGAAAGCGUGGGGAGCAAACAGG